GACGAACGCUGGCGGCGUGCCUAAUACAUGCAAGUAGAACGCUGAAGGAGGAGCUUGCUUCUCUGGAUGAGUUGCGAACGGGUGAGUAACGCGUAGGUAACCUGCCUUGUAGCGGGGGAUAACUAUUGGAAACGAUAGCUAAUACCGCAUAAUAGUAGAUGUUGCAUGACAUUUGCUUAAAAGGUGCAAUUGCAUCACUACCAGAUGGACCUGCGUUGUAUUAGCUAGUUGGUGGGGUAACGGCUCACCAAGGCGGCGAAACAUAGCCGGCCCGAGAGGGUGGACCGCCAAAAUGGGAACUGGGACAGGCCCAAGACUCUUCGGGGAGGAGGAAGAGGGGAACAUCGGCAAAGGAGGGAAGGCUGGCCGCGGAACGCCGGGGUGGGGGAAGAGGGUCUCGGAUCGGAAAAGUCUGUUGUAAGGGAAAGACGAGUGGGAGGGUAGAAAGUUCACGCUGUGACGGUAUCUUAAGAGAAAGCGACGGCUAACUACGUG
rnacentral:rRNA from 1 species